GGAGGUGUGGCCAAGUGUUUAGGGCGCUGGAUUUGAAAUCUGGAGGUCCCUGGCUCAAAUCCAAGAUCCUGCCA